UUUAUUUUUCGCUGUGAGCAAAAAUCAGUAACGGUUACACUCAUCAGUCAAACCCCGUUACGACACUCAUCUGUUUGUUUUUAUGCAUGCGCCUGACAUGGAUUUUAUUUCCAUGUAUGUUGCGUGACCUCUUGCCGCAAUAGUCACAGAUUACCGUUGUGGGGACUGAUGGCUCCACAGGUCCGUCCGAGGCGAAGACCACCAACAGCUGGCGAUGGUGACCAGCUGCAUCGAUCUCACACGCCCUGUAAGAGUUUCACUGUAUAAUUAAUAUUGAGUUACAAAAAUCAGUAACGGUUACACUCACUACAUCAGUGUGACUGGUAUGCUGGAAGAAUGAUAAGAGAAUGUGUUACGGUUAGCUGCUGUUGAUACAUCGGAUGCUGUCCUAGUGGAAUCUCGCCAUAUUGCACCUCGUCGUCGCACUGUGACUCACUUACCUUUCCUGAAGAAGUCGAACUGCGCUAUGCAGUUCUUCAUAUUUCUUGGUAGCUAGAACUGCAUCUGUCGCGCUGGAGCUCGCGACAGCCUUUAAUUCGGCCACAUCGUCCGGGAUGCUUAUCUGCUGCAGCGUCGCUCUCUACAGCAUCGGGAGCCCAAUGUUUUACUUAUGUUAUUCUUCGCUGCUUCGGUCGAGGUUGAGUUGAUCCUUGACAGUCUUCAGUGAUGAACGAACAUCUUCCGGGCAGUUUCUAUCUUCUCUUCUUCGGCGUGGCUGCAUUUAUAAUUCAUAAUUAUUGAUAAUUAUCAACAAAACACGACAAGAAAUCAUCAUCGUCAGCGAUGCGAGUAGGCUACGACCGUGUCGAGUAGUCAACACAAACCAAAGCAGACAGCGACUUACCCGUCUUGUACAAUUUCCGUUGGAAUAGUUUCGUUCAACGAUUCGCUGUUACUGUUCCGCAAGUGUUCAUUUAUUCUUCGCUGCUUCAUCUCGUUACCCUUUUUCGGUGUCAAUACUUCGUCAAAAUUACCGAAGUAUUGUUACCGAACAACGCGGCAAAAUAAAUAAGGGGGAUUCGGCAAAUGAACCAACGGUUGCCGCGACACUUUUCAACCGCCCACCGCAGUUUGCCACUCCCGCUUUAUUCUCACCGAUAUCGACAACGUGUUGUCAAUGUGCCAUAAAAAGUCCAAUCGUUACCUAUUCCGGUUGUUUGAGCUACUCGAUAAUACGAUUAAUAACGGAACGAUUAAUAAAGAAUUAUGUUUUAUUAGCGAA